ensembl:lncRNA
CUCUAAAUGUCUUGUAGAAUUCAGCAGUGAAGCCAUCAGGGCCCGGGCUUUUCUUAGUUGGUAAGUUUUUAAUUACAUUUUCAAUUUCUUUGAUUGAUAUUGGGUUGUUUAGAAUUUUUAGGUCUUCAUUCAACUUUGGUAAUUCAUAUGUGUCUAGGAAUCUGUCCAUUUCUUCUGUUUUCCAUCUUAUUGGCAUAUAGGUUCUCGAAGUAGAUAUUGAUGAUCCUCUGGAUUUCUGCUGGGUCUGUUGUAAUUUCACCCUUUUCAUUCUGAAUUGCAUGGAUUUUGGCCUUGUCUUUCCUUUCUCUGAUAAGGCUGGCUAAGAGUUUGUCGAUUUUGUUUAUUCUUUCGAAGAACCAACUCUUGGCUUCAUUGAUUUUUUGUAUUGUUUUUUUAGUCUCCAUUGCAUUGAUUUCUGCCCUGAUCUUUAUAAUUUCCUCCUUUCUAUGGGCUUUGGGUUUGUCCUGCUCUUCUUUUUCUAGAAGCUUGAGGUUCAACAUCAAGUUGUUUAGUUGGGCUUACUCUGUUUUCCUAAUAUGAGUAUUCACUGCUAUGAAUUUCCCUUGUAAGACUAUCAUUGUGUCCUGUAGAUUCUGAUAUGUUGUACCAUCAUUGUCAUUUAUUUGAAGGAACUGUCUGAUUUCUUCUUUAAUUUCCUCUGUGACUCACUGGUUAUUCAGAAGUGUUCAAUUUCCAUGUGUUUAUGAAAUUUUUGUAGUUUCUUUUGCUAUUGAUCUCCAAUUCAUCGCACUAUGGUCUGAUAAUAUUCAGGGGAUAAUUUCAAUUCCUUUGCACUUACCUAAAUAUGUUCUAUGAGUGAGUAUGUGGUCUAUUUUGGAGAACAACCCAUGUGCAGCUGAAAAGAAUGUGUACUCUGAUUUUGUGGGGUGGAAUACUCUGUGAACAUCUGUUCAGUUCAUAUGUUCAAGAGUUUGAGUUCUAGUAUUUCAUUGCUUGUUUUUUGUCUAGUUGAUCUAUUUGUGACAAUGGGGUAUUGAGGUCCCCCACUAUCAUUGUAUUAGUGCUUAUAUGAUUUUUCAUGUCCAUUAGUAUUUGUUUUAUAUAGUUGGGCGCACUAGUGUUUGGUACAUAGACAUUUAUAAUUGUCAUCUCUUCCUCUUGGAUUGUUCCCUUUAUAAGGAUGUAGUGUACUUCUUUGUCUCUCUUAAUCAGUGUGGGUUUGAAAUCCACUUGGUCUGCAAAGAGGAUAGCUACUCCUGCUUGUUUUCAGGUUCCUGUCACAUGGAGUAUUGUUUUCCACCCUUUAACUUUCAGUCUAUGAGGUUUUUUUUUAAAUUAUUUUUUUAUGAGUUUCUUUUUGAAUUAAGUGUGCUUUUUGUAUGCAGCAUAUUGUUGGAUCUUGCUUCUUCAUCCAUUCUGCCAGUCUUUUUUUUUUUUUGGUACCGGGGACUGAACUCAGGUCCUUGCACUUGCACAGCAGGUGGUGAAACCACUGAGCUAAAUCCACAGCCUCUAUUUCUUUUGAUUGGUGAGUUGAGACCAUUAACAUUGAUGGUUAUAACUGAUACGUACUGAGUUAUCAUUGUCAUGACUUUUUGUUUUUGUUGGAUUUUCCCCCUUUGCUUUAAUUUCUUGUUGGGCCCAGUGGAUUCAUUCUGCUGGGCUUCCUAGGGUUGUGAUCCCCAUUGACUUUUCCUAAGAUUCUAAAAUUUUUUUUUUUUUUUUUGUACUGGGGAUCGAACUCGGGUCCUUGUGCUUGCACAGCAGGCGGCAAAACCACUGAGCUAAAUCCCUGGCCCUUGUCUAAAAUUUUUUGGAGUGCUGGUUUGGUAACAUGAAGUUCCUAAGGUGCUCUUUGUCAUGAAAGUAUCAUAUUUCACCAUCAAUUCUGAAAGAUAGUUUUGCAGGGUACAUCAAUCUGGGUUGGAGGUUGUUUUCCUUUAGGGCUUGAAAUAUAUCACUCCAACCUCUUCUUGCCUUGAGAGUUUGCAUUAGAAGUCUGCUGUGAUUCUGAUGGGCUUUCCUUUGUAUGUGAUUUAUUUCUUUUCUUUAACUGCUUGUAAAAUUUUGUUCUUCUGUUGGGUUUCUGGAAUCUUAACAAUUAUAUGCCUAUGUUGUUUUUUUUCAUCAAGGCUAGUUGGAGUCCUAUAUGCCUCAGUUAUUUGUAUGUUAAGUUCUUCUCCCCUGCUUGGGACGUUUUCUGCCAUCACUUCUGUGAACAGUUUUUUUAUGUCAUCUGCACUCUCUCCUGUUUCUUCAUUGACUCCAAUCAGUCUUAUGUUAUUCUUCUUUGCAUUGUCUAGCAAGUGCUGGAUUGAUUUUUCGUAGUCCCUUACAAUUUUAAAGAAAUCUUUCUUUUCCUGGUCACUAAUUGCAAUCUUAUCUUCUAUAUCUGAAAUUCUGUCUUCACAUUGGCUCAUUCUGCUGCAUAGACUUUCAGUGGAGUUUUUAAUCUCCUGGAAAUCUGUUCGCAUCUGUUUCAUGGAUUCCAUUUGUUUCCUAUGUUGGGACUGCAUCAUGUUCUGCAGUUCCUCUAUUUUUCAAUCUGUGUCCUCUCUAGAUUUUUUUAAUCAUACCUUGCACUAUGGGCACAGUCUCUGCUGAUUUCACCUUUUGCAGAUCAUCUUUCGUUGCUAGUUCAGGGUGUCCAAGUGGUUGAGUAUCAGAGGGUUCCAUCUUGUUUCCCUUUGGGGUUGCUUUAGGUGAUCUGGAAGUCUGGUUCUGAGGCUUGUUUAUGUGUCUUCUCAUUUCGACUGGGGUGGGGGUGGGGGUUCUGCUGGCACCCACACAGCUCACCUCUGUGCUGGGAGCUGUGGCAUGCUGACCUGGAAGCCUCCUCUGUGGUGGGAGCUGUGGCACGCCUACCCAGAAGCCUCCUUUACACUGGGAGCUGUGGCACACUAACCUGGAAGCCUCCUCCACACUGGGAGCCACAGCACAUUGACCCAGAAGCCUCCUCUGCGCUGAGCUGUGCACUUCUGAACAUGGGUCCCUCUCUAGUGUGUAGUUAGUCACAAAGAAAUACCCCUAAAGUCAUGAUGAGAGCCAGGUGUGAUGGUGCAUGCCUGUAAUCCCAGCACUGGGGAAGCUCAGGCAGGAGGUCACUGUGAGUUCAGGCCAUC